rnacentral:rRNA from 1 species
UUUCUGCAAGGUGCUGCAUGGUUGUCGUCAGCUCGUGCCGUGAGGUGUCGGGUUAAGUCCCAUAACGAGCGCAACCCUUAUCGUUAGUUGCCAUCCGGUAAUGCAGGGGACUCUAGCGAAACUGCCACCGUAAGGUGAGAGGAAGGUGGGGAUGACGUCAAAUCAGCACGGCCCUUAUGUCCAGGGCUACACACGUGUUACAAUGGUCGGUACAGAGGGCAGCUACCUGGUGACAGGAUGCUAAUCUCGAAAACCGGUCUCAGUUCGGAUCGAAGUCUGCAACUCGACUUCGUGAAGCUGGAUUCGCUAGUAAUCGCGCAUCAGCUAUGGCGCGGUGAAUACGUUCCCGGGCCUU